rnacentral:rRNA from 1 species
CCUACGGGUGGCAGCAGUAGGGAAUAUUGCUCAAUGGGGGCAACCCUGAUGCAGCCACGCCGCGUGGAGGAUGAAGGUUUUAGGAUUGUAAAGUCCUUUUGUGAGGGAAGAUAAUAACGAUAUUUAUAGAAUAAGCAACGGCCAACUCCGUGACAGCAGCCGCGGUAAUACGGAGGGUGAAAGCGUUAGUCGGAAUCACUGGGCGUAAAGAGUGCGCGGGCGGGUUUGUAUGUCAGAUGUGAAAUCCUGUAGCUUAACUUCAGAACUGCAUUUGACACUAUGAGUCUAGAGUGUGGGAGAGGUAGGUAGAAUUCUUGGUGUAGGGGUAAAAUCCGUAGAUAUCAGGAGGAAUACUCAUGGCGAAGGCGACCUACUGGAACAUUACUGACGCUCAUGUACGAAAGCGUGGGGAGCAAACAGGAUUAGAUACCCUUGUAGUC